GCCUGGGUGGCUCAGUCAGUUGAGCAUCUGACUUGGGGUCAGGUCAUGAUCUGACACUCAUGGGUUCAAGCCCCGUGUUGGGCU
rnacentral:tRNA from 1 species